CGGCCAGUACAGACCCCUUUCCUAAGUCGCUGGGGGAAGGGCAGGGGCGGAGAGGGAAGAAGAGGAGGAGGAGGAGCCUGAGGAAGAGGCCGGUUCAAACCUCGCAGCUCCGCCCCCUCGCUGCCCCUUCCAGCUGGGAUGUAACAGUCUCUCUGACCUUGCAGAGAGGAUGGUUUGCAAGAGCCGAGUGUGGCAUUGGCUCCUCACGCUGGGGAGGAGGAGUGGGACGAGUCCUGUUCUGAGGUGAUGCUACAACUUGUUGAAUCUGCAGGAAAUUACUCCGCAGAUGUAAUUUCACCUGAACAGCCUCGUGGGCCAGAGGUGAGAGAGAGGUGGAGGUGGGGGAGUCCAUUGGGCAAGGGGUCAUUGUGAAGAGAAACCAGAUGGAACCGUUCGUCAGGACUAGCCUCACGGAAGAAAGGAGAAGCUCAGCUUGGCAAAAAUGCAGUCUAACUACACCUUACUCGACCACUCUUUGGAGGGAGGAAGGCAACACUGGCCCUCCAGGAUAUCCCGGAUUUGAGACUUGAUGCUUUUAUUAUAUUGUCUCUAAUGAACGUCCCUCCAGCUCAGUCUGUUGCAAAGCCUUCAAAAAAACUAGGUAAAUGUUAGACAGAGUAAUGGCUGUGUAAAGAUAGUUGUCAUAUGAUUUCAAAUAAUUCAGACACAAUAUUUAUUUUAAAAAAUUCCUUUCACAAUGGACCCAGAAAUGAUGUAGUUAAAGUUUAACACCCUCCCAGAGAAGGAGAAAAAAUAAAUAAAUAAACUCCUCUCUC